ACGGGAGGCAGCAGUGGGGAAUAUUGCACAAUGGGCGAAAGCCUGAUGCAGCGACGCCGCGUGAGCGAAGAAGUAUUUCGGUAUGUAAAGCUCUAUCAGCAGGGAAGAUAAUGACGGUACCUGACUAAGAAGCACCGGCUAAAUACGUGCCAGCAGCCGCGGUAAUACGUAUGGUGCAAGCGUUAUCCGGAUUUACUGGGUGUAAAGGGAGCGUAGGCGGUUUUACAAGUCAGAUGUGAAAGCCCGGGGCUCAACUCCGGUACUGCAUUGGAAACUGUAGAACUAGAGUGACGGAGAGGUAAGUGGAAUUCCUAGUGUAGCGGUGAAAUGCGUAGAUAUUAGGAGGAACACCAGUGGCGAAGGCGGCUUACUGGACGAUUACUGACGCUGAGGCUCGAAAGCGUGGGGAGCAAACAGGAUUAGAUACCCUGGUA
rnacentral:rRNA from 1 species